rnacentral:pre_miRNA from 1 species
UCUCACGGAUGAGCAAAGAAAGUGGUUUCUUGAGAUGGAACCUACUCCUUAGUGAAGAUGCUGUGAA